rnacentral:rRNA from 1 species
AGUGAACGCUGGCGGUAGGCCUAACACAUGCAAGUCGAACGGCAGCACAGUAAGAGCUUGCUCUUACGGUUGGCGAGUGGCGGACGGGUGAGGAAUACAUCGGAAUCUACUUUUUCGUGGGGGAUAACGUAGGGAAACUUACGCUAAUACCGCAUACGACCUACGGGUGAAAGCAGGGGAUCUUCGGACCUUGCGCGAUUGAAUGAGCCGAUGUCGGAUUAGCUAGUUGGCGGGGUAAAGGCCCACCAAGGCGACGAUCCGUAGCUGGUCUGAGAGGAUGAUCAGCCACACUGGAACUGAGACACGGUCCAGACUCCUACGGGAGGCAGCAGUGGGGAAUAUUGGACAAUGGGCGCAAGCCUGAUCCAGCCAUACCGCGUGGGUGAAGAAGGCCUUCGGGUUGUAAAGCCCUUUUGUUGGGAAAGAAAAGCAGCAGGUUAAUACCCCGCUGUUCUGACGGUACCCAAAGAAUAAGCACCGGCUAACUUCGU